UCUACUCUCAUUUUGGCUAAGUUACCCAUGCAUGGUGCUGCCCAGUGCAUAGCUAACUCAGGAGUGCGAUCUCUACUGAAACUGGCGAGGUAGGGCCUUCAUACACCUUCCCUGUGGUCUCGCCGGCCGCCUUCAUAAUCUGCUUCUCCUUUAACUUCGGCGAUGUGCUUGCUCUGGCGAUCUCCGACUGCCUGGUCGUCUGAGUCUGCAUCUGGCGACUUCGUCCUCAACCUGGCGAUCGCCUAUUCUGGUAAGCUGGAGAUCGGAACACGCCAACUUAACUAUCGGCGACUACACGUGCCUCCCGACUUCCUUCCCAACUGUCAACCUGGCGCCUUGUCAACACGCCUACACUGUAACAGGAUGCUACGUCAUCGCAUCCGACCACCAGGGCGGUACACA
rnacentral:lncRNA from 1 species